GUCUAUGGCCAUGCCAUCCUGAACAAGCCCAAUCCCAUCUGAUCUCAGAAGCUAAGCAGCGUCGGGCCUGGUUAGUACUUGGAAGGGAGACCACCUAGGAAGACUAGGUACUGUAGGCG
rnacentral:rRNA from 1 species